GAAUUGAAACACCAAUUCCCAUAAAAUCACUGAAGUUAAGCAAUGUUGAGCUUGGUCAGUACCUAGACGGGUGAUCACUUGGUAAUACCAGUAAGCUG